CUCGAGGAAGCGGUGGCUGGUUGGGCGAGCCGAGGGAAAGCAAAGGAGCUGUACGCAUGCGCCCUAGCCGCGGAUGCUCGAAGACUUGGUUCAACCGCCGUUAUCUCAAAUCGAGGCUCGGUGCCAUGGCAACCGGAGGUGGCUUGGUGUUGUUGCCGUUUAAAGGAGGCCGCGGUGGUCCUUGUGAUGAUUCCCAAGGGAUAACGGCGUGGCAUCGGCUCCCUCUGUCCCUGAACAGCGCUUGGUCGUCAGGUUGCAGGUGGAAUGUUGGCGACAAUAUACACCCGUCGCCAGUUCCGUUGAAUUAAAUGAGGAUUGACUCCUUCGGUAAAGGUGACUCGGAUUAAAGCGAAGUAACCGCUGUAUCAGUAACAACGCUACCGAAUUCAGUCGGCCGGGUUUGCAGCGGAGUUUUAGUCUCAGUUACAUUUACCUAAGAUUGUAGCUUUGACAGAGAAGUAGAGGAUUAAAAAAAGAAAGUAUAAACAGCAAGAUGAUGAUCUUCUAUAAACAGAAAUCCAUGUACAGUCUGUGUCCAAAGAGAAUGUUAUAGCAAAUAGCUCAAUUUGGGCGUGCUG